rnacentral:lncRNA from 10 species
UACUGGGCUUUCUCUGACAUCCAGACAGGGCGUGUGCUCACCAAGGUGACAGAUGAGACCUCCGGCUGCUCUCUCACCUGUGCACAGUUCCACCCUGACGGACUCAUCUUUGGAACAGGAACCAUGGACUCUCAGAUCAAGAUCUGGGACUUGAAGGUAAAGUCACUGAUCUUUGACCAGAGUGGUACCUACCUGGCUCUUGGGGGCACGGAUGUCCAGAUCUACAUCUGCAAACAAUGGACGGAGAUUCUUCACUUUACAGAGCAUAGCGGCCUGACCACAGGGGUGGCCUUCGGGCAUCACGCCAAGUUCAUCGCUUCAACAGGCAUGGACAGAAGCCUCAAGUUCUACAGCCUGUAGGCCCUGGCCCUUCUGAUGGAAGCUGGGCCUCAUCUCAGUAGAGGGGUAGAAUUAGGGUUUGGGGGGGGGGGUGGGGGGAAUCUAUGGGGGGAGGGGGCUCUGUGGGGUGGGACAUUCACAUCAUUUCACUCUGGUCUGAGUGGUGGCCUGAGAACCAUGGUGGCAUGGACCACCCUCAUCCAUGCAACUCCAGGCCCCAUGGGAACGGAUGUGGAAGGAAGAACUGUCACCCUCUUAAGGCCCAGGGUCGGAGCCCAGGGCCUCUCCCUUCCUGUCGUUCAAUGGACGUGGUGGUGGCUGUUCCACACCCAUUUUGUUGCAGUUCCUGUGAGACAGGAGAGGCUGAGCCAAGGGAACUGUGAAGGGGAUGGGCAGGAGGGCUUGUGCAGGGUUUUGUAAGCAGUGAUCUAGUUUCAUUA